rnacentral:lncRNA from 1 species
CCAACAGCUCUUUUUUAACGUUAUCAAUCGAUCAUCAGCUUUUGUUUUCUUAGCAAAUUUUCUUUUUUUUCCGCGUGGAUGCAGCGCUUUCUGUUAGGUAAUUUUCUUUUUUUUUACAUUUGUUUUUUAUAAAGUUAAUUAAAGUUAUCAAUCGGUCAUUAUUUUAUCUUUCGUAUCAAUUUCAUUCCAAAAAGUAACAAAUGUAAUUUAUCUCAGAAUAUACUAAAAUUUUAUUGAAAUGUUGAUAUUAAAUUAUGAUGAACUAAUAUACAAUAAUUAAAAUAAAAAUAUUAAUUUAGUUAUAUAUAAGUUAGAUUUAUUGAAUUUAAA